rnacentral:rRNA from 1 species
AUUGAACGCUGGCGGCAGGCCUAACACAUGCAAGUCGAGCGGAUGAAGGGAGCUUGCUCCUGGAUUCAGCGGCGGACGGGUGAGUAAUGCCUAGGAAUCUGCCUGGUAGUGGGGGAUAACGUCCGGAAACGGGCGCUAAUACCGCAUACGUCCUGAGGGAGCAAGUGGGGGAUCUUCGGACCUCACGCUAUCAGAUGAGCCUAGGUCGGAUUAGCUAGUUGGUGGGGUAAAGGCCUACCAAGGCGACGAUCCGUAACUGGUCUGAGAGGAUGAUCAGUCACACUGGAACUGAGACACGGUCCAGACUCCUACGGGAGGCAGCAGUGGGGAAUAUUGGACAAUGGGCGAAAGCAUGAUCCAGCCAUGCCGCGUGUGUGAAGAAGGUCUUCGGAUUGUAAAGAACUUUAAGGUGGGAGGAAGGGCAGUAAGUUAAUACCUUGCUGGUGUGACGUUACCAACAGAAUAAGCACCGGCUAACUUCGUG